rnacentral:rRNA from 1 species
CCCUUAGACGUUCUGGGCCGCACGCGCGCUACACUGACCAGUGCAACAAGCAUCCGUCCUUGGCCGACAGGCUCGGGCAAUCUUUGAACGCUGGUCGUGAUGGGGAUAGACUUUUGCAAUUUUUGGUCUUCAACGAGGAAUUCCUAGUAAACGCAAGUCAUCAGCUUGCAUUGAUUACGUCCCUGCCCUUUGUACACACCGCCCGUCGCACCUACCGAUUGAAUGGUCCGGUGAAAUCUUCGGAUCUGAGAGAUGUCUGAUUAAUUUCGGACGCCUUUUGGAAAAGUUGUUUAAACCUUACCAUUUAGAGGAAGGUGAAGUCGUAACA